GAUGAACGCUAGCGGCAGGCCUAACACAUGCAAGUCGAGGGGUAGAACACUUCGGUGUUUGAGACCGGCGCACGGGUGCGUAACGCGUAUGCAAUCUACCUUGUACAGGGGAAUAGCCCAGAGAAAUUUGGAUUAAUGCCCCAUAGUAUAUAACCUUCGCAUGUUGGUUAUAUUAAAGUUCCAACGGUACAAGAUGAGCAUGCGUCCCAUUAGUUAGUUGGUAAGGUAACGGCUUACCAAGACGAUGAUGGGUAGGGGUCCUGAGAGGGGGAUCCCCCACACUGGUACUGAGACACGGACCAGACUCCUACGGGAGGCAGCAGUGAGGAAUAUUGGUCAAUGGUCGCAAGACUGAACCAGCCAUGCCGCGUGCAGGAAGACGGUCCUAUGGAUUGUAAACUGCUUUUAUACAGGAAGAAACCCUCCCACGUGUGGGAGCUUGACGGUACUGUAGGAAUAAGGAUCGGCUAACUCCGUGCCAGCAGCCGCCGUAACAC
rnacentral:rRNA from 1 species